CAGAUCCAUUCUCUGCCACCGAAUACAUUAGCAUGGGAUAAUGGAAUAGGACCCUGUCCUCCUAUUUUCAGUUGGUUUUGGCAGCGCGAGGACUAGGGUAAUGAUUAAUAGGGAUAGUUGGGGGCAUUAAUAUUUAAUUGUCAGAGGUGAAAUUCUUGGAUUUAUGAAAGAUUAACUUCUGCGAAAGCAUCUGCCAAGGAUGUUUUCAUUAAUCAAGAACGAAAGUUAGGGGAUCGAAGGCGAUCAGAUACCGUCGUAGUCUUAACCAUAAACGAUGCCGACCAGCGAUUAGGAGACGUUGAAUACGAAACGCCACCAUCGGUGCGGUCGUUCUUGGCGUCGGUUUCGGCCGGCACGGGAACGGCUUAGCCCGGUGGCACCGGUGAAUGACUCCCUAG
rnacentral:rRNA from 1 species